GAUGAACGCUGGCGGCGUGCCUAAUACAUGCAAGUCGAGCGAACGGACGAGAAGCUUGCUUCUCUGAUGUUAGCGGCGGACGGGUGAGUAACACGUGGAUAACCUACCUAUAAGACUGGGAUAACUUCGGGAAACCGUAGCUAAUACCGGCUAAUAUUUUGAACCGCAUGGUUCAAAAGUGAAAGACGGUCUUGCUGUCACUUAUAGAUGGAUCCGCGCUGCAUUAGCUAGUUGGUAAGGUAACGGCUUACCAAGGCAACGAUGCAUAGCCGACCUGAGAGGGUGAUCGGCCACACUGGAACUGAGACACGGUCCAGACUCCUACGGGAGGCAGCAGUAGGGAAUCUUCCGAAAUGGGCGAAAGCCUGACGGAGCAACGCCGCGUGAGUGAUGAAGGUCUGCGGAUCGUAAAAAUCUGUUAUUAGGGAAGAACAUAUGUGUAAGUAACUGUGCACAGCGUGACGGUACCAAAUCAGAAAGACACGGAUAACUACGUG
rnacentral:rRNA from 1 species